rnacentral:rRNA from 1 species
AGAGUUUGAUCCUGGCUCAGGACGAACGCUGGCGGCACGCUUAACACAUGCAAGUCGAACGAGAGAAGAGGAGCUUGCUUUUCUGAUCUAGUGGCGGACGGGUGAGUAACACGUGAGCAAUCUGCCUUUCAGAGGGGGAUACCGAUUGGAAACGAUCGUUAAUACCGCAUAACAUAAUUGAACCGCAUGAUUUGAUUAUCAAAGAUUUAUCGCUGAAAGAUGAGCUCGCGUCUGAUUAGCUAGUUGGUAAGGUAACGGCUUACCAAGGCGACGAUCAGUAGCCGACCUGAGAGGGUGACCGGCCACAUUGGGACUGAGACACGGCCCAGACUCCUACGGGAGGCAGCAGUGGGGAAUAUUGCACAAUGGAGGAAACUCUGAUGCAGCGAUGCCGCGUGAGGGAAGAAGGUUUUAGGAUUGUAAACCUCUGUCUUCAGGGACGAAAAAUGACGGUACCUGAGGAGGAAGCUCCGGCUAACUACGUGCCAGCAGCCGCGGUAAUACGUAGGGAGCGAGCGUUGUCCGGAAUUACUGGGUGUAAAGGGAGCGUAGGCGGGAUCGCAAGUCAGAUGUGAAAACUAUGGGCUUAACCCAUAAACUGCAUUUGAAACUGUGGUUCUUGAGUGAAGUAGAGGUAAGCGGAAUUCCUAGUGUAGCGGUGAAAUGCGUAGAUAUUAGGAGGAACACCAGUGGCGAAGGCGGCUUACUGGACGAUAACUGACGCUGAGGCUCGAAAGCGUGGGGAGCAAACAGGAUUAGAUACCCUGGUAGUCCACGCCGUAAACG